rnacentral:lncRNA from 1 species
GUUGAAGAUGAUUAUUAACUAUUAAUGAUAAUUACCACAUUGUACGAAUAAAUUGCAUUAUAUAAAGAGUGACUCGCUUCCUAAGUUUGUAUUAACAAAGAAAAAAGCUAAAAUUCUUGAAGUCUCAUAAGUCCAGUCCAUCUUUCUUUGCCAUCUAAUAAAACACUUUUUAUUUCCUUUCAUGGGCUUAAACUUCACUAAAAGGCAAAUUGUCUGAGGGCAUGCCUCUGAGACAACAGGACUCUGUGUGUGCUCAAAUAAUCCCCUGUUCCAGUUGACUGUUUUCUAUUUUUCUGAAUAGACACUAUACAGAAUCAGGAAUCAGAAACGGUCCUGUGAUCUCCCUAAUUGCUUCCACAGACAAGUCCAAAAUGGGUAAAUUUUUUCAAAGACACAACUGAUUCAAGCCCCAAAUGUUCCUCAAGGAGCUCUCAGGCUUCUCUCCCACAAUGGUGUGGAGUCCCCUCAGCCAGCCCUCACCCCAGGGCUGGGCAAGAACCCAAAUGGCAGAAAGGGCUCCCCCUCCAGACAGGACCCAUCUCCACCCAAUAAAGGCCGGCACUCAGAAGAGGAAGCAGGAAGUCGAAGACAACAUGUUCUUGGGCAUCUGUCCUCUUGUUACCCUGAAGCUGACCCCAAGUCUGAUCCAGAUCCGAGCAUUUGGGGAGCCACGGUGCCACCAGGAACUUCUGCAUCCCAACAACAUCCUUAACGGCCACGUAUGGACUGCAAAUCCACACAGCCACGACAGCAGAUGCCACAGAGCGGCCGGCUCAAUCUCGGAUUUAACAGAUCUCAAGACAGGAACCAACGACCCACCAGGGAAAAAGAAGGACUGAGCGGGAACUCGGCUCAUUCAACACCUGCUCACUCUGGACGGCAAGGUCAGCAGUUACUGCUGGGCUCUCUCCAGCCGCAGUCGCGUGCCUGUCAAAGGUCUGUACCGUUCAUCUUGACGCAUAAUCAAAGAACACUUCAUCAAGGCUCAUCAGAGCUGCGGGAGCUGUUAGCAAUGAGCAGCUUCCCUUUGUAUUAUUUUAGGAGAGCAAAA